GCCAGGUAUGGUGGUGCAUGCCUGUAAUCCCAGCAGCUUGGGAGGUUGAGGCAGGAGGAUCACUAGUUCAAAGCCAGCCUCAGCAAUGGUGAGGCACUAAGCAACUUGGGGAGACCCUGUCUCUA
rnacentral:sRNA from 1 species